AUUUUGUUAUAUUAUGCAAAAAGAUUUGUAACAGACAUAUAUAUAUAUAGAGUUGAGCUGGAAUGGGUAGCAAACCGGCUCCGUUGUCACCCAUUUGUUUUCGAUGAUGGAGCCUUUAAAUUGACGAUCGGCACCGUUAAACAUGAUCUAUACCACUUGAAGUAUCUAGAAAUCAAAUUUUAUGCUUUUUCGAUAUUAUUCUCUUGUCCAUCAAAUGGGCGUAAAAAUGAACGGCUGAAAAUGAAUAUCCUCUAAAAAGUAAUGAUAGGAAUUUUAUAAUCAAGAUCGAGAGUAUAGAUCUUAUUUUAAAUAGUUUAAAGAAUUUUCUAACCAAAAUUCAAUUGAUUUGAAUAGCUUUACACCGUUAAAUGAAAAAAACGCAUCGUAUCUACCAUUAAAAUUACAAACUUUGAAACUCUUUGAUCAUUAGGUUAAUGAUGUCGAAAUGAUUUAAAAUUUGGUUUCUAGAUACUUCAAGUGGUAUAGAUCAGGUUCAACGGUGCCGAUCGUCAAUUUAAAGACCCCAUCAUCGAAAACAAAUGGAUGGCAACAGAGCCGGUUUGCUACCGAUAGCAUUCCAGCUCAACUAUAUAUAUAUAUAUAUAUAUAUAUAUAUAUGUAUAUAUAUAUAUAUAUAUAUCACAUAAU
rnacentral:lncRNA from 1 species